CUCCCCUUGGCUGGUUUCAGUCAGCUUUCUGAGUUGUAGCCAAAAUACCUGACAAGAACAACUUGGAGGAGGGCAAGUUUAUUUGUGACUCAGUUUCGGAGGACUCAAUCCAUGGAUGGCCAAAUCCACUGCUCUGGGCCAAGAUGACACCACACAUCAUGGCAGAAGGGCCCAGCGCAGGGAAGCUCCUCACUCAUGGUGGGGUCAGGAAGCACAGAGAGCCCCACAGGGUAGAUGUACCCUUCCGGGCAAGCCCAAGGGACCCCCUCCUCCAGCCACACUCCAGCUGUCUACAGUUAAUCCAAUCAGUCCACUUCCAAAUAUCCCUGCACCAACAGGAGUUUCAGGGACACCACAUAUCCAACCCAUAACGUUCUGCUCUGGCCCCCAAAAGUUCAUGUCCAUCUCACAAUGCAAAAUGCAUUUAGUUCAACUCCAAGAGUCCCUAGUCGUAACAGUUUCAGACCUGCCCAAAAGUCAACGUUGAAGUCUUUUCUGAGACUCAAGACAAACUCCUGGCUGUGAGCCCUGUAAAAAUCAAAAGCAAGUUAUAUAUAUCCAGUGUACAGCCACCAAGGGUAAACAUCCCCACUCCAAAAGGAACGGGGUCUUGGAAAGAAAGGGUGCGGCCAAAACCCAGCCAGGCAGACAUUUUUUGUAGCUCCACCUCUGAAUCUGGGGCACACAGGGGACAGUGUGCUGUCCAGGGGGCCUGGGCAGACCUGCCCCUGGGCCUUGCUCUCUGCAGUGCACACGGGCUUCUCUUAGCCUGGUUCUCUAUGUAGCCAGCAGCUUUUCUCAGCAGACAACAUGUUACUGGCCUCACUUAAUUCCUGGGGUCUCCAUUUUGGCUUCAGCUUCACCUUCAGAGUUUCACACAUCACCCUCUCGGCUGACCACAGAGACUCUGACCCUACACUUUGCCUGGCCUCCCAGGCCUUCCUCUGAAAUCUCUGUGGGAGCCUCCAUGCUCCCUUAACUCCAGCAUCCUGGAUCCCUGCAGAACCAGCACCACGUGGAAGAUACCACCGUCUGCCACCAGCUCAUCACCCCCAGAACCAUGGCCGCAGUGACCUCUGAGUGCCGGUGUGGCUCUGCCUGUGAAAGCAGGAUGCCCACAAUCUCUUAAAGGGAUCUUCCCUCCUACAUCCUCGUUCCUGCGGUGGGUACAGUCUCAUAAAUUGCUGAGAUGCCUUCAAGGCAAGGCCAGCACCCUUCUAGCUACUGUUGACAAGCUCAUCACCAAGUGUCAAAGGGCUCCAGUUCUCAAAGUUUUUGAGGUGAAUUAUGGUGCCAGCCUUCACAUCUCCACACAUUCAUGACCAAGAAUGGGAUCUCACUGGUUGACACAGUGUCUGAAAGGACAGGAAACAAUCCAUUUCCUCAUGGAGACCAUGGGAGCAGGGGUGCAGUUUUCUGAUACUGUCUCCAACAGGUCUGCCAUCAAGUUAAAAAGCCAGCUUAACUUUGUACCUUCGGUUCAUUUUAAGAACUGAAGGCUCCUGAUAGUUUUGUGGCCUGGGAGAGGUGAAGCAGAGUUUGAGUUCUCUGUUUUCUCAAGACCAUGAACCUGUCUGAUGCUCUGCCAUUUCCGGUGGUGGGAUUGUGAGGCCUUCAGCUCAUCUUGUUUUUUGUCUUAGAUCUGAUUUAUAAGAGGCUUAUUUUUAUGGAUGCAGCUUUUGGACUUAUUAAUCCUGGUAAAUUUCUUUUUCUU
rnacentral:lncRNA from 1 species